rnacentral:rRNA from 1 species
AUUGAACGCUGGCGGCAGGCUUAACACAUGCAAGUCGAGCGAGCGGCGGACGGGUGAGUGAUGUCUGGGAAACUUCCUGCUGGAGGGGGGUAACUACUGUAAAAGGUAGCUAAUACCGCAUACCAUCAGAUGUACCCAGAUGGGAGUAGUUAGUAGGUGGGGUAAUGGCUCACCUAGGCGACGAUCCCUAGCUGGGCUGAGAGGAUGACCAGCCACACUGGAACUGAGACACGGUCCAGACUCCUACGGGAGGCAGCAGUGGGGAAUAUUGCACAAUGGGCGCAAGCCGGAUGCAGCCAUGCCGCGUGUGUGAAGAAGGCCUUCGGGUUGUAAAGCACUUUCAGCGAGGAGGCGUUACUCGCAGAAGAAGCACCGGCUAACUCCGUGCCAGCAGCCGCGGUAAUUC